CCUACGGGAGGCAGCAGUGAGGAAUAUUGGUCAAUGGCCGGAAGGCUGAACCAGCCAUGCCGCGUGAAGGUCAGUGCCCUUUGGGCGUUAAACUUCUUUUGUGCGGGAGCAAUAAUGGUCACGUGUGGCCAGACGAGAGUACCGUACGAAUAAGCAUCGACUCACUCCGUGCCAGCAGCCGCGGGAAUACGGGGGAUGCAAGCGUUAUCCGGAUUUAUUGGGGUUAAAGGGUGCGUAGGCUGUGAGGUAAGUCAGCGGGGAAAUGCCCCCGCGCAACGGGGUGAAGUGCCAUUGAUACUGCCAGGCUGGAAUGCGGAUGCGGUGGGAGGAAUGUGUGGUGUAGCGGUGAAAUGCAUAGAUAUCACACAGAACACCGAUUGCGAAGGCAGCUCACGAAGCCGCGAUUGACGCUGAUGCACGAAAGCGUGGGUAUCAAACAGGAUUAGAUACCCGGGUAGUC
rnacentral:rRNA from 1 species